rnacentral:rRNA from 1 species
UACGUAGGGGGCGAGCGUUAAUCGGAAUUACUGGGCGUAAAGCGUGCGCAGGCGGUUAUGUAAGACAGAGGUGAAAUCCCCGGGCUCAACCUGGGAACUGCCUUUGUGACUGCAUGACUAGAGAACGGCAGAGGGGGAUGGAAUUCCGCGUGUAGCAGUGAAAUGCGUAGCUAUGCGGAGGAACACCGAUGGCGAAGGCAAUCCCCUGGGCCCGUACUGACGCUCAUGCACGAAAGCGUGGGGAGCAAACAGG